rnacentral:rRNA from 1 species
CAGCAGCAGCCGCGGUAAUACGAAGGGGGCUAGCGUUGCUCGGAAUUACUGGGCGUAAAGGGCGCGUAGGCGGACAGUUCAGUCGGGGGUGAAAGCCCGGGGCUCAACCUCGGAAUUGCCUUCGAUACUGGCUGUCUUGAGUAUGAGAGAGGUGUGUGGAACUCCGAGUGUAGAGGUGAAAUUCGUAGAUAUUCGGAAGAACACCAGUGGCGAAGGCGACACACUGGCUCAUUACUGACGCUGAGGCGCGAAAGCGUGGGGAGCGAACAGGAUUAGAUACCCGAGUAGUCCCUGUCUCUUAUAC